GGUUAAGCGACUAAGCGUACACGGUGGAUGCCCUGGCAGUCAGAGGCGAUGAAGGACGUGCUAAUCUGCGAAAAGCGCCGGCGAGGUGAUAUGAACCCUUGACCCGGCGAUGUCCGAAUGGGGAAACCCAGUGUGAUUCGUCACACUAUCGUUAACUGAAUACAUAGGUUAACGAGGCGAACCGGGGGAACUGAAACAUCUAAGUACCCCGAGGAAAAGAAAUCAACCGAGAUUCCCCCAGUAGCGGCGAGCGAACGGGGAGCAGCCCAGAGUCUGAAUCAGCUUGUGUGUUAGUGGAAGCGUCUGGAAAGUCGCACGGUACAGGGUGAAAGUCCCGUACACGAAAAUGCACAGGUUGUGAACUCGAAGAGUAGGGCGGGACACGUGGUAUCCUGUCUGAAUAUGGGGGGACCAUCCUCCAAGGCUAAAUACUCCUGACUGACCGAUAGUGAACCAGUACCGUGAGGGAAAGGCGAAAAGAACCCCGGCGAGGGGAGUGAAAAAGAACCUGAAACCGUGUACGUACAAGCAGUGGGAGCACCUUCGGGUGUGACUGCGUACCUUUUGUAUAAUGGGUCAGCGACUUAUAUUCUGUAGCAAGGUUAACCGUAUAGGGGAGCCGAAGGGAAACCGAGUCUUAACUGGGCGUUAAGUUGCAGGGUAUAGACCCGAAACCCGGUGAUCUAGCCAUGGGCAGGUUGAAGGUUGGGUAACACUAACUGGAGGACCGAACCGACUAAUGUUGAAAAAUUAGCGGAUGACUUGUGGCUGGGGGUGAAAGGCCAAUCAAACCGGGAGAUAGCUGGUUCUCCCCGAAAGCUAUUUAGGUAGCGCCUCGUGAACUCAUCUUCGGGGGUAGAGCACUGUUUCGGCUAGGGGGCCAUCCCGGCUUACCAACCCGAUGCAAACUACGAAUACCGAAGAAUGUUAUCACGGGAGACACACGGCGGGUGCUAACGUCCGUCGUGAAGAGGGAAACAACCCAGACCGCCAGCUAAGGUCCCAAAGUCAUGGUUAAGUGGGAAACGAUGUGGGAAGGCCCAGACAGCCAGGAUGUUGGCUUAGAAGCAGCCAUCAUUUAAAGAAAGCGUAAUAGCUCACUGGUCGAGUCGGCCUGCGCGGAAGAUGUAACGGGGCUAAACCAUGCACCGAAGCUGCGGCAGCGACACUAUGUGUUGUUGGGUAGGGGAGCGUUCUGUAAGCCGUUGAAGGUGACCUGUGAGGGUUGCUGGAGGUAUCAGAAGUGCGAAUGCUGACAUAAGUAACGAUAAAGCGGGUGAAAAGCCCGCUCGCCGGAAGACCAAGGGUUCCUGUCCAACGUUAAUCGGGGCAGGGUGAGUCGACCCCUAAGGCGAGGCCGAAAGGCGUAGUCGAUGGGAAACAGGUUAAUAUUCCUGUACUUGGUGUUACUGCGAAGGGGGGACGGAGAAGGCUAUGUUAGCCGGGCGACGGUUGUCCCGGUUUAAGCAUGUAGGCGGAGGUUCCAGGUAAAUCCGGUACCUUUUUAACGCUGAGGUGUGAUGACGAGGCACUACGGUGCUGAAGUAACAAAUGCCCUGCUUCCAGGAAAAGCCUCUAAGCAUCAGGUAACAUCAAAUCGUACCCCAAACCGACACAGGUGGUCAGGUAGAGAAUACCAAGGCGCUUGAGAGAACUCGGGUGAAGGAACUAGGCAAAAUGGUGCCGUAACUUCGGGAGAAGGCACGCUGAUAUGUAGGUGAAGCCCCUGCGGGUGGAGCUGAAAUCAGUCGAAGAUACCAGCUGGCUGCAACUGUUUAUUAAAAACACAGCACUGUGCAAACACGAAAGUGGACGUAUACGGUGUGACGCCUGCCCGGUGCCGGAAGGUUAAUUGAUGGGGUUAGCGGUAACGCGAAGCUCUUGAUCGAAGCCCCGGUAAACGGCGGCCGUAACUAUAACGGUCCUAAGGUAGCGAAAUUCCUUGUCGGGUAAGUUCCGACCUGCACGAAUGGCGUAAUGAUGGCCAGGCUGUCUCCACCCGAGACUCAGUGAAAUUGAACUCGCUGUGAAGAUGCAGUGUACCCGCGGCAAGACGGAAAGACCCCGUGAACCUUUACUAUAGCUUGACACUGAACACUGGUCCUUGAUGUGUAGGAUAGGUGGGAGGCUUUGAAGCGUGGACGCCAGUCUGCGUGGAGCCAACCUUGAAAUACCACCCUUUAAUGGCUGGUGUUCUAACGUAGACCCGUGAUCCGGGUUGCGGACAGUGUCUGGUGGGUAGUUUGACUGGGGCGGUCUCCUCCCAAAGAGUAACGGAGGAGCACGAAGGUUAGCUAAUCCUGGUCGGACAUCAGGAGGUUAGUGCAAUGGCAUAAGCUAGCUUGACUGCGAGAGUGACGGCUCGAGCAGGUGCGAAAGCAGGUCAUAGUGAUCCGGUGGUUCUGAAUGGAAGGGCCAUCGCUCAACGGAUAAAAGGUACUCCGGGGAUAACAGGCUGAUACCGCCCAAGAGUUCAUAUCGACGGCGGUGUUUGGCACCUCGAUGUCGGCUCAUCACAUCCUGGGGCUGAAGUAGGUCCCAAGGGUAUGGCUGUUCGCCAUUUAAAGUGGUACGCGAGCUGGGUUUAGAACGUCGUGAGACAGUUCGGUCCCUAUCUGCCGUGGGCGCUGGAGAAUUGAGGGGGGCUGCUCCUAGUACGAGAGGACCGGAGUGGACGCAUCACUGGUGUUCGGGUUGUCAUGCCAAUGGCACUGCCCGGUAGCUAAAUGCGGAAGAGAUAAGUGCUGAAAGCAUCUAAGCACGAAACUUGCCCCGAGAUGAGUUCUCCCUGAGACUUAAAGUCUCCUGAAGGAACGUUGAAGACGACGACGUUGAUAGGUCGGGUGUGUAAGCGCAGCGAUGCGUUGAGCUAACCGAUACUAAUGAACCGUGAGGCUUAACCUU
rnacentral:rRNA from 1 species